AAGAGAUGAGAAGAGAAGGAAGCGUCUAGAGGCUGCUGGUAUUGAUUAUGAAUGCCCAGAAUUUGUUGGUAAUGCUCAGCCUGCACCAAAGAAAAUUAAGUUUGCUGAUGACGACGAUGAUGAGUAGAGAAGUUGUCAGGCAUGUUUCUGUGCUACAUUCACUAUAUCUGUAUUUGGAAUUAUGUGAAGCUCUGCCUUAAUAUUUGAAACUCUGCAUUAGUUUU
rnacentral:misc_RNA from 1 species